rnacentral:rRNA from 1 species
AGCAGCCGCGGUAAUUCCAGCUCCAAUAGCGUAUAUUAAAGUUGUUGCAGUUAAAAAGCUCGUAGUUGAAUUUCGGGAUCAAUUAGUCGGUCGUGCCUCUGGUACGUACUGGUUUUAUUGGUUCCUCCCUUCUGACGAAACAUGAUGUCAUUAAUUUGGUGUCGUGGAGAAUCAGGACUGUUACCUUGAAAAAAUUAGAGUGUUUAUAGCAGGCUAACGCUUGAACACAUUAGCAUGGAAUAAUGAAAUAGGACGUUCGACCCUAUUUUGUUGGUUUCUAGGAUCGACGUAAUGAUUAAUAGGGAUAGUUGGGGGCAUUAGUAUUCAAUUGUCAGAGGUGAAAUUCUUGGAUUUAUUGAAGACUAACUACUGCGAAAGCAUUUGCCAAGGAUGUUUUCAUUAAUCAAGAACGAAAGUUAGGGGAUCGAAGACGAUCAGAUACCGUCGUAG